rnacentral:rRNA from 1 species
AUUGAACGCUGGCGGCAUGCCUUACACAUGCAAGUCGAACGCGAAAGCGGGGCAACCCGCAAGUAGAGUGGCGAACGGGUGAGUAAUACAUCGGAACGUGCCCAGUAGCGGGGGAUAACCUCUCGAAAGAGAGGCUAAUACCGCAUACGACCUAUGGGUGAAAGAGGGGGAUCGCAAGACCUCUCACUAUUGGAGCGGCCGAUGUCGGAUUAGCUAGUUGGCGGGGUAACGGCCCACCAAGGCGACGAUCCGUAGCUGGUCUGAGAGGACGGCCAGC